UACGUAGGGUGCAAGCGUUAAUCGGGAUUACUGGGCGUAAAGCGUGCGCAGGCGGUUUUGUAAGUCUGUCGUGAAAUCCCUGGGCUCAACCUAGGAAUUGCGAUGGAGACUGCAAGGCUAGAAUCUGGCAGAGGGGGGUAGAAUUCCACGUGUAGCAGUGAAAUGCGUAGAGAUGUGGAGGAACACCGAUGGCGAAGGCAGCCUUCUGGGCCAACACUGACGCUCAUGCACGAAAGCGUGGGGAGCAAACAGG
rnacentral:rRNA from 1 species